UUUUUUCCAGAAAUGAUAGAAAUAUUUAUUGCUAAUAAGAGAGCAUUACAAUAUAUGAGCAAGGGCUUAAACUUGGACUUUACAAAAGUGUACUAAGACAUUGAGGGUCUAGAAACUCCUCAUCAAAGUGAAUGUGCAUUGUUUUCUUACUCAGUUUAUCACUGAGUCUAUUAAUAUUACCAGGCUAACUAUCAAAUGAGCAUGUCCUAAACAUUGAGCUAAGGUCUUUUAUGUACUCUAGGUGAGCUGCUAUACGUAUAUCUCUCGAGGCUUGACAUCUUAACAGUUUUAGAACCUGAGAGCAUGGUGUUUGGAUCUUUAUGUACUGCUAGCCCUGUUCUUUUAUCUUGCAUAGUGCCAGUUGUAUAGCCAAAAAAUUAUCCAACACAGCUGAUCCAGUGCUUCUUUCCUUCAUAAUCCAAGCUGCACAUAUCUGGCUCAUGAUGCUUUCUGCUGUGAUGCCAAUUCCAUAUUCUGCCCUUCGAUAUGUUGCCCCACAUCUACACAAAUGAUCAGCAUGUUUUCAUCUUCCCCCACCCUUUCCUCCUGUGCAUAUGCUGUUUCUGUUUCUAAGAUGCUCAUCUGCUGCUCUGCCUGUUGGGAUUGGUGAUAUUCCUCCCACUCCUUAACUGCUUUCCUAAUUACUUCCAUUGGAUGUGUAACGCCCCCACUUCUCCCUAAGGCGAACCAAAGGGUAUCCGCGGGACGCCUGCCCAGCUCUCGCCAGGACUCACUAC
rnacentral:lncRNA from 1 species